GCGGGUGUCGUAUAGUGGCUAUUAUAACUGCCUUCCAAGCAGUAGACGGCGGUUCGAUUCCGCUCACCCGCU
rnacentral:tRNA from 2 species